GAACGCACCUUGCGCCCCUUGGUCAUUCCUCGGGGCAUGCCUGUUUGAGUAUCAUGAACACCUCAACUCUCGUGGUCUUCCAUGAUGAGCUUGGACUUUGGGGGUUUGCUGGCCCUGUGGCCGGCUCCUCUCAAACGAAUCAGCUUGCCAGUGUUUGGCGGCGUCACGGGUGUGAUAACCAUCUACGCUUGCGAUCGCCUGCCAGAUAACCCUCAGCGAUGAAGGUUCAUUGGGGCUCACAAAAGUCUCUCCACGGCGAGGACGAAUUUUGAAUGUUCGAUCUCAAAUCAGGUAGGACUACCCGCUGAACUUAAG
rnacentral:misc_RNA from 1 species